AGAUAAUGAGGAUGACGAGGAUGAAGAUGCGUGAUGAACAUACGCCCUUGGAGCCAUAUGACACAGGUCUCUGUCCCCUUGAUAAAGAGCGGUUUGAAUAUCAAUGAGGUUUAUUCUCUCCCGGGUCUGCAGCCAGCUGUUAUAGACUGAGCGCCAUUCUGCUGCUAUUUUGAGGCAAGAUAAGUAAUUAAAAAAUCAAUACCU